AAUUAAAAUUAUAAAAAUAAAUUAAAUUGCAAAUUUAAUAUUUAUAUUAAUUUUAAUAAUAUAUUUAUAAUUA
rnacentral:tRNA from 1 species